UCUUCGAUAGGAUAUAAUAUCUUCCAACAACCACCCUGCAUAAUUAUAAGAGUUAGAAAAGGGGAGGUGCAUCCCUCCCUCGCAAGGGAAAAGAGUGACACCCCUUGUCUAAAGUAAGUUCUAAAUGGGUUAUUAGUUAGAAAUGAAAGAGAAAUUAGCUCGCCUUAUCCAACAAUAAAGAUAACUAAUUUAAGCAUACACUUGUAUUUG
rnacentral:lncRNA from 1 species